CGAGCAGAAGCAGAGGAAGGAGCGCUCUGAGGGGACCUGUGGGGUCAUCAACACUCAGACGUGGGAGUCGGUGUUGGAUGACGUGGAUCCCUUCCAGCUCGGACUUCUGUGAUCACAGAGGCAUUUGAGAGGGAGAGAAAAUGGAGGUGUGCACCCCAUUUCCAUGCUCUUUUGGUUCUUCAGUAUUGCUGAGGACUGCUGUUAGCACAGUGGCUGUCACCUCCCGACCUCACCCAGGCCUGUGUGCCAGUGCCAUAUUUCCACUGGGUCUCCUUGGGAGAAUCCUGUUACAACACUGCAGCAGCUGAAAAUGGAGUUUUGGUGCCAAAAAAGCAAACGAGAGAUGCAAUGACACCGACCUGGUCAUGAGGAUACUGAGGGAAAAGCCAGUUUUUGUGCGAGUGAGACUGCAUUUUUUUCAUCCACUGGAUGUCAGUGUUACGCUACUGCUGUGGUGCAUUGCCAGGUGCUGGGAGAACUUUGGCUGCUUUGGGAUGAGGGAUUCAAGAAGAGCUUUCUCCUGUGGUUGGUCUUCUAUAACAGCAGAGAACAAGCACAGAUGAGCAACUUAAAGAAAAAACAGAGGUAAUGAAUAUAAUGAAUACUAGAAUUAAAUGAAAGCAGGAGAAAAUGAGGGAGAUACAUCAAAUGUAAUUUUUGAACUUGUAAGCUGGCCAGGUGAUUAAUGCUAACAUUCCUGCUUUGCAAACCCUCCCCACCCAAAAAAAAAUCGUUAAAACCCCUAAUAUUCAAGGAUCUGAGCUUUAAGCCUCAGACAUGUCUACAUCCGUCACUGUACUCAACACAAUAAGCUUAUUUUGACAUGACUUAUUCUCGUGUGCCGUAGCCAUGAAAGACACGCAGUUGCGACAGUUUGAAGAACAGUUUAUGAAUGUCCGAAGCGAAAUGCUUAGCAGAAUUUUCAACUUGUGCUGCCGUGCUCACAUAAUUCUGUUGAAAGGAAAAGGGAAAAAAGAGAAGUUUGUCAGCCCACAG